CAAUUAGACGCCACGUCAGCGCCAUGUAAGCGAGGUGGAUGGUAAAAUGUCCAUUAUGCCCCUAUUCUUCCUUCUUUCUUUCUUUUUAAUUUCUUUCUGUCUCUUUUCUUUCUUUUGUUUACACCCAACCGGCCACCACCGAACGGAGCCAUGCGUUGAGCAAAAUCCACCACCACCGAGCUCUCCACCACCACUACCCAGCUUACCAUCCAAAAACAUCCUCGGAUUUGCCCAAAACCCUAAGGUCCUUUUUCGGAUAUGGUGAUUUGGGGUUGAGGAUUUGGAUUCAGAUUACCCAAAUCCAAAUCAAUAUGUUUGUUACCCAAACCCAGAUUUAAAUCAAUUCGAUUCACACAAGUCGACGUUGGGGUACGUGAUUGGCGGAGUUGAAAAUGUGGGUGGGCAUUGCGGUUGCAAUGUUGUCUUCGAAGGAGCCGCGAUUCUCAAAGCGGCCGGAGCCAUACUCGAAGCUAUUACUUUGGGCCUGCCAUAUCUUGUCUAGGAGACCGCCAAUCCAGCCUUUCUGUAGAUCAGGUUAGUGGUGGCACUGUUGGUUGGAACGCGGUACGCGCCGUCGCCGGAUUUGCCGAAUCUGUGCUUCUCCAUUCUCCAAACUCCAGCUCGAAUCGAGUUAAACGACUUCCAUAAUUAGAAUAAGCACCUUAACACCCACACGCUUCCAAGACGCCGCCUUUCGGUUUCGAUCAGAGCCGCCACACGCACCACCUUGAAAUUGGACUGCUAUAGCUACGCUGGCAUGUGGACUGCUAUAGCUACGCUGUGUAUGCCGGCGUAGUCCAAUCGUUCUGGUAAGCUAGCCCUGAAGCCUCUUUCAUUAUCUGAUUGAGUUCCAGCCUUGAAAUUGGUGGAUUUCUGAUGUUUAGUUCUUCGAUUUGCAAUAUCUGAAUUUUGGGUUUGGAGGAAACAAUGGACUUCAGAUUGGAAGGAGAGCUUCUGGUCUUGAUUUUUAUAAAGCCUUAAGGGAAGGAUGAAGAUCUGAUGAAAACAGCGAGUUCCAAUACGUCGUGGAGUUUUGGCCUCGACAAAACAUUGAAAUAGGGUAAGAAACCCAAGCCUUUAACUGUGAAUUUGAUUUUGUUGGGAAAUUGAGAUUAUUGUGAAUGUUGUUUUGUGGUGGAGAUGAAUACAUGGAGUUUUGGGUUAAGGACAAUUAGCUGAGACUACCACCUAGAAGGGAGGAAUUGGAAUGAUUAUGAAGAAGGUUACAUGACAUGCAAAUUGCUGAGGUGGCGUAGCUUGGAUUUCCACAUCAGCAAGUUAACUGCCGAAUUUGACGGAAUGUUAACGGUGAGGACCUAUUAGACGGAAAUUGAGACCUCAUGGACUUUUCAGAUUAAAUUAAAAUGUCAGGGACUGAAACGAUGAGAGAGGCAUAGUACAGGGAUUAAACAAAAUUUUUCCCUAUUGUUUGGCUCUAGUUUUUCUUGAGCUGGUCAACAGUCUCUUUUCUUGCGCGGGCGUGCCAGCACCGUUCGGGUGCGGUCGUCUGGGGUGUCCCUUGACCUGACUUCUUUCGAGCGACUGUAGACGAGGAGAGCACCAACUUCGUCGCGGGAUUCUUCUGUGCCUCGUGGUGAGGACUUUGUCUUGUAUCACCAAGUUGAUACUCAACGUUGUAGGUCGAGCAGUGCGAAAUCACUUGGAAGUAGGGAGAACUUGCUAAAGCGUGACUUUAGCUUGGCUGGUUUGCGAGAGCGUUACCUUUGCUUAGCUGGUUCCGUAACCGUUGUGUCGUGGUACUACAGUCGACUCCCGAGGAGACUAGGACCGAAGCACAUUGACAGAGGGUUUGGUGGCACUGACAGUCGGCUCUUGAGAAGACUAGGACUGGAGUGUGAUCACCGGUAAGAGAAGGAGAGGAGUUGCUCUUAGAGAGAGGUUGCUCUAGAGAGGCUUGGAUAAUCUUAGAGAUUGUAUUGAUGAAUUGUGUUGUCUAUUGUUACUUGUUGUAGCCUCUAUAUAUAGGCUACCAAGCCAUAGUGGUUGGCCUUAAACAAAUCAUGAUGGGUUAGAUUUGAGCACUUAAACACUAAUGGAAUUGUUAGGUUUAAGCACUUAAACACUAAUGGAAUGUUAGGUUUAAGCACUUACUGCUCCAA